rnacentral:lncRNA from 1 species
AAGCGCCACGGAAUGGCGGAUCCCUUGUGCUCCUCUCUCUCUUUACAGGUGGUUGUAGGCUUGAAAAUGGAAAAGAAAAAAAAUGAUUUAGGGACAUGGUGUUGUAGGUUUGAAAUGGGGAAAUGGGGAUGCACAGAGAGGGGAUGCUAGGGCUUGGGUAUCUUGUUUGGGAAGGAUUUUCUAAUUUGGAAAAAAAAUUUGCAAUUAAUUUUAA